rnacentral:rRNA from 1 species
GAUGAACGCUAGCGGCAGGCUUAAUACAUGCAAGUCGAGGGGCAGCAUGGUGUAGCAAUACACUGAUGGCGACCGGCAAACGGGUGCGGAACACGUACGCAACUUACCCAAAACUGGGGAAUAGCCCGGGGAAACCCGGAUUAAUACCUCGUAACAUAAUGAAGUGGCAUCACUUUAUUAUUAUAGCUCCGGCGGUUUUGGAUGGGCGUGCGCCUGAUUAGGUAGUUGGCGGGGUAAUAGCCCACCAAGCCUACGAUCAGUAACUGGUGUGAGAGCACGACCAGUCACACGGGCACUGAGACACGGGCCCGACUCCUACGGGAGGCAGCAGUAAGGAAUAUUGGUCAAUGGACGCAAGUCUGAACCAGCCAUGCCGCGUGAAGGAUGAAGGUCCUCUGGAUUGUAAACUUCUUUUAUAUGGGAAGAAAUCCAUCUUUUCUUGGGUGGUUGACGGUACCAUAGGAAUAAGCACCGGCUAACUCCGUGCCAGCAGCCGCCGUAA